AACAUCGCGCACCUGCGGGAACCUGCGGAAGGAUCAUUACCAGAGAGCCUUUUGGCACUCCAACCCAUUGUGAACAUACCUAUCGUUCCCUCGGCGGGCUCAGCGCGCGGGGCCUCCGGGCUUCCGGGCGUCCGCCGGGGACAACCAAACCCUGAUUUACUACGUGUAUCUCUGAGGGGCGAAAGCCCGAAAACAAAAUAAAUCAAAACUUUUAACAAUGGAUCUCAGAUCGGAAGAGCA
rnacentral:misc_RNA from 1 species